rnacentral:rRNA from 1 species
AGUGAAUAGAUACCCUGGUAGUCCACGCCGUAAACGAUGAGUACUAGGUGUAGGGGGUAUCGACCCCCUCUGUGCCGAAAGCUAAACGCGAUAAGUACUCCGCCUGGGGACUACGGCCGCAAGGCUAAAACUCAAAGGAAUUGACGGGGGCCCGCACAAGCAGCGGAGCGUGUGGUUUAAUUCGAUGAUACGCGAAGAACCUCACCCAGGUUUGACAUGCAUGUGGUACUGAUGUGAAAGCUGAGGGACCCUUCGGGGAGCAUGCACAGGUGUUGCACGGCCGUCGUCAGCUCGUGCCGUGAGGUGUUGGGUUAAAGUCCCGCAACGAGCGCAACCCCGUGUCGCCAGUUGUAUUUUUACUGGCGAGACUGCCGAGAAAACCCUCGGAGGAAGGAGGGGUACGAUGUCAGGUCAGCGUGGCCCUU